rnacentral:rRNA from 1 species
GACGAACGCUGGCGGCGUGCUUUACACAUGCAAGUCGAACGGUGAAGGUGGAGCUUGCUCCGCCGGAUCAGUGGCGAACGGGUGAGUAACACGUGGGCAACCUGCCCCUAACUUUGGGAUAACUACUCGAAAGAGUAGCUAAUACCGGAUAUGGAGUCUGUAGGCAUCUAUGGAUUUGGAAAGUUUUUCGGUUAGGGAUGGGCCCGCGGCCUAUCAGCUUGUUGGUGAGGUAGUGGCUCACCAAGGCGACGACGGGUGGGCGGCCUGGGAGGGCGAGCGGCCACACUGGGACUGAGACACGGCCCAGACUCCUACGGGAGGCAGCAGUGGGGAAUAUUGAUCAAUGGGCGAAAGCCUGACGCGGCAACGCCGCGUGCGGGAUGAAGGCCUUCGGGUUGUAAACCGCUUUCAGCAGGGAAGAAGCGAAAGUGACGGUACCUGCAGAAGAAGCACCGGCUAACUACGUGCCAGCCGCCGCCGUAA